CCUUCUUAAUUGAUCCCUCUGGCUUUCAGUGCCAGACAUUGCACGUUCUUUGGCCACGUUUAUUAGGAAGCUUGAGGGGCUUAUGCUUCCAGUUGAUCAGGAACAUGGACAUGGUGCCUUCUGCAGGUUGAGUUCAGGUCAUCAAUAUUCAGCGUCACCCGUCAAAGAGAUGAGUCAAACGUGGAAUUACUUCCCAUUCCAUUUUGGCAUCAUUCAUGGAUGAUACGCAGGCAUGCUACUCAGUCUCAAGUGUUAGUAUCAACAACCAUGGUUUAUGAAAAGCAUAUCAACUAACAGUAACAGCUCUAAACUUAAUAAUCCUCUGCAUGAAUUCUGUAACUGGGGCAGCAGCUCUAAACUUAACCAAGAAACUAGUUUCGUACAUAUAUGAAUGUCGUUUACUUGUGGCUUGUGUGAAUUUGAGGUGUUUUGCUGACAAAAAA